rnacentral:rRNA from 1 species
GACGUAGGGCGCGAGCGUUGUCCGGAUUUAUUGGGCGUAAAGAGCUCGUAGGCGGCUUGCCGCGUCGACUGUGAAAACCCGCGGCUCAACCGUGUGGUCUGCAGUCGAUACGGGCAGGCUAGAGUUCGGUAGGGGAGACUGGAAUUCCUGGUGUAGCGGUGAAAUGCGCAGAUAUCAGGAGGAACACCGGUGGCGAAGGCGGGUCUCUGGGCCGGUACUGACGCUAAGGAGCGAAAGCGUGGGGAGCGAACAGG